rnacentral:tRNA from 1 species
GUUGUGGCUUGGUGGUAGAGUACUUGCCUAGCACGUGUGAGGCACUGGGUUCAAUUCUCAAAACAACA